CCAAGAAUAACUUAUUAAGACAAAGCCAUUUUAGAUAAAGAGAACUAUAUAUCAACUGUAAGAACAUAACGGUUUUUAUUUUAAUUAUUAGUAAAAACCCACAUUAAGUAUGGUCCAUAGGUUUUAGGAGUUAUGGUUUUAGAGCAUCUCAAUUUUUAAUGGUCAUUAUUUGGGUGGUAAUGGCUCAUGAUUUCUUGAUGGUAGAAUCAAGUAUAUAAAGUAGCCUUUGGUCCCUAAGCUCUCUCUCAAUUCACUAUUCAGAAAAUAUACACCAUCUAUAUAGUUGAGAGUAAGAGCUUAGAAGACUAAAAGAGCAAUUCACUCGCAACUCUACUGAUAACAAUGGCUGGAGUAACUUACAUCAGGGAGACUGUAGAAGGUUUAGAAGAGCUUAAACAUCCUUAAGCAAAGCAAGAUCGAUACUCAACAUAAACAAGCUUUAAGCAAUAGCAAUGGCGGGAGGUAUUUCGGCUAUUUAAAUUCAAUUUAGUUUCCGCUGUUUAAGGUUGAAUUUCCUUUAUGAUUUCGUAGAAACUCUUACAUCAACCUCACAGUCAAGUAAAAUCAACUCCAUUGAAUUUACAUGUCCAGCAAUAACAUCACUCAUAUUAUGUGUCAAACUAAUAACUCUAACUUUUAUUUGCCAUUCCAAUUUAUUUGACUUCAGCGAGGACAAUGGAGAAAAAGUUUCAAAUUUAUGAUUCAUUGGAAAUAUAAGAUUCAUUGGAAUUACUUGGGAGUGAACUGUAAAUGAC
rnacentral:lncRNA from 1 species